AUACCGGGCCUUUUUGGGCUUGGUAAUUGGAAUGAGGGAGAGUUAAACGGACCAUCGAGUAUCCAUUGGAGGGCAAGUCUGGUGCCAGCAGCUGCGGUAAUACCAGCUCCAAUAGCGUAUAUUAAAGUUGUUGCAGUUAAAAAGCUCGUAGUUGGACUUGUGUGCGCUGUCCGCGGGUGGCCUGCGCCCAAAAGGGCGUUUCGGUUCGGCCCCGGUGGCGCCUUGAAAUCUGCAGCUGGGGGGACGUUGGCCUUAACUGGUCGGCGACCGCACGCCGGCUGCUCGGUUACUGUGAGAAAAUUAGAGUGUUCAAGGCAGGCAUUGGGUGCAAUUGAAUACACUAGCAUGGAAUAAUAAAAUAUGGCUCCUGCCGUAUUUUGUUGGUUUUGACUGGUGGGAGUAAUGAUUGAUAGGGACGGUUGGGGGUGCUAGUAUUGAGCGGCCAGAGGUGAAAUUCAUGGAUUCGCUCAAGACUAACUUAUGCGAAAGCAUUCACCAAGGACGUCCUCUUUAAUCAAGAACGAAAGUUGGGGGAUCGAAGACGAUCAGAUACCGUCGUAGUCUCAACCAUAAACUAUGUCGACUUGGGAUCGGCGGUAGUUUUUUCAUUAAGACACUGUCGGGACCACGGGAGAAAUCAAAGUGUCUGGACUCUGGGGGAAGUAUGGUCGCAAGGCUGAAACUUGAAGGAAUUGACGGAAGGGCACCACCAGGAGUGGAGCCUGCGGCUUAAUUUGACCCAACACGGGGAAACUUACCAGGUCCAGAGAUGUAGAGGAUUGACAGAUUGAAGCUCUUUCUUGAUCACUUCGGUGGUGGUGCAUGGCCGUUCUUAGUUGGUGGAGUGAUUUGUCUGGUUAAUUCCGUUAACGAACGAGACCUCAGCCUGCUAGUGUAGUCGGCUGGAUUGCCUUAGGCGAUCCGUGAUUUCGACUUCUUAGAGGGACAAUCGACGCGCAGUCGAUGGAAGUUUGAGGCAAUAACAGGUCUGUGAUGCCCUUAGAUGUUCUGGGCCGCACGCGCGCUACACUGCUGGGCUCAGCGAGUUUUACUUGGCCGAGAGGCCCGGUUAAUCUUGUGAAAUCCCAGCGUGCUUGGGCUCGCCUCCUGCAACUGGAGGCGCCAACGAGGAAUUCCUAGUAGACGCAGGUCAUCAACCUGCAUCGAUUACGUCCCUGCCCUUUGUACACACCGCCCGUCGUUCCAUAAGAGUGAGGCAUCCGGUGAAUUCUCGGGAGAGCCUGGGCGUGGCCAGCAAUGGUCUGCUCGGGUUUGAACUUGCAUAAACUUGGUGCCUAUGAUUAGGG
rnacentral:rRNA from 1 species